CCUACGGGAGGCAGCAGUAGGGAAUCUUCGGCAAUGGACGGAAGUCUGACCGAGUAACGCCGCGUGAGUGAAGAAGGUUUUCGGAUCGCAAAGCUCUGUUGUAAGAGAAGAACGAGUGUGAGAGUGGAAAGUACACACUGUGACGGUAUCUUACCAGAAAGGGACGGCUAACUACGUGCCAGCAGCCGCGGUAAUACGUAGGUCCCGAGCGUUGUCCGGAUUUAUUGGGCGUAAAGCGAGCGCAGGCGGUUAGAUAAGUCUGAAGUUAAAGGCUGUGGCUUAACCAUAGUACGCUUUGGAAACUGUUUAACUUGAGUGCAAGAGGGGAGAGUGGAAUUCCAUGUGUAGCGGUGAAAGGCGUAGAUAUAUGGAGGAACACCGGUGGCGAAAGCGGCUCUCUGGCUUGUAACUGACGCUGAGGCUCGAAAGCGUGGGGAGCAAACAGGAUUAGAUACCCCUGUAGUC
rnacentral:rRNA from 1 species